AGAAAAUCGAGAUUCCGUACUUCCAGUUAGUCAUAACAUAUUGUCGAGCACUGAAAUGUUGUUUAGAAGUAAUUCGGGGUAGCAAGGCUAAUGAUGUGCUCUGAAUGGGGUGCAUCCCCAUACAUAAUGUUGAUUGAUUGACAAUUUUUUGAUUGCUGGCAAUUGUUGUAGGCACCGUGUUAGCAGUAGCACAUAUAUUGGAUGAGUGCAUCCCAUACAUAAUUUGUGGGUGUUCUAUGACAUGAAUAUAUUAUGUGUUUCUGCUAUAUUUAAAAGCAUCAUUAU
rnacentral:lncRNA from 1 species